GGUUCAUUCAAAUUUCUUCCCUAUCAACUUUCGAUGUUUGGGUAUUGGCCAAACAUGGUUGCAACGGGUAACGGAGGGUUAGGGCUCGACCCCGGAGAAGGAGCCUGAGAAACGGCUACUACAUCCAAGGAAGGCAGCAGGCGCGCAAAUUACCCAAUCCCGACCGGGGAGGUAGUGACAAUAAAUACUGAUACAGGGUUCUUUCGGAUCUUGUAAUUGGAAUGAGUACAAUUUAAAUCCCUUAACGAGGAACAAUUGGAGGGCAAGUCUGGUGCCAGCAGCCGCGGUAAUUCCAGCUCCAAUAGCGUAUAUUAAAGGUGGUGUGGUUAAAAAGCUCGUAGUUG
rnacentral:rRNA from 1 species